GCCCGAGUGAUUGAUACAAGUGGUCGUCUGGCCCCCGAUAGAUUAAAUAUAAUUUGACCCAAAAAUGUAAGACGAGGAAACUCUAAAUUUAGGUGGAAGUUGUUGACAAAGAUCUACCGUGAAACUUAAACCGUCAGCGGAUCGGAUCGCUUUUGAAAUAUUUCCCAGGACGAGUACUC